CCUACGGGCGGCAGCAGUGGGGAAUAUUGCACAAUGGGGGAAACCCUGAUGCAGCGACGCCGCGUGAGUGAAGAAGUAAUUCGUUAUGUAAAGCUCUAUCAGCAGGGGAGAAAAUGACGGUACGUGAGUAAGAAGCCCCGGCUAACUACGUGCCAGCAGCCGCGGUAAUACGUAGGGGGCAAGCGUUAUCCGGAUUUACUGGGUGUAAAGGGAGCGUAGACGGCAGGGCAAGUCUGGAGUGAAAGGCGGGGGCUCAACCCCCGGACUGCUCUGGAAACUGUACGGCUGGAGUGCAGGAGAGGUAAGCGGAAUUCCUGGUGUAGCGGUGAAAUGCUUAGAUAUUAGGAGGAACACCAGUGGCGAAGGCGGCUUACUGGACUGUAACUGACGUUGAGGCUCGAAAGCGUGGGGAGCAAACAGGAUUAGAUACCCCUGUAGUC
rnacentral:rRNA from 1 species